GGGGGGGGGGGGGCUACACAUGCAGUCGAGCGGCAGCGGAAAGUAGCUUGCUACUGUUGCGCGGCGAGCGGCGGGCGGGUGAGUAGUGUCUGGGAAACUGCCUGAUGGAGGGGGAUAACUACUGGAAACGGUAGCUAAUACCGCAUAACGUCGCAAGACCAAAGAGGGGGACCUUCGGGCCUCUUGCCAUCAGAUGUGCCCAGAUGGUAUUAUCUAGUAGGUGGGGUAGCGGCUCACCUAGGCGACGAUCCCUAGCUGGUCUGAGAGGAUGACCAGCCACACUGGAACUGAGACGCGGUCCAGACUCCUACGGGAGGCAGCAGUGGGGAAUAUUGCACAGUGGGCGCAAGCCUGAUGCAGCCAUGCCGCGUGUAUGAAGAAGGCCUUCGGGUUGUAGAGUACUUUCAGCGGAGAGGAAGGUGUUGAGGUUAAUAACCUCAGCAAUUGACGUUACCCGCAGAAGAAGCACCGUCUAUCUCCGUGCCAGCAGCCGCGAUAAUACGGAGGGUGCAAGCGUUAAUCGGAAUUACUGCGCGUAGAGCGCACGCAGGCGGUCUGUCAAGUCGUAUGUGAAAUCCCCGGUCUCAACCUGAGAACUGCAUUCGAAACUGACAGUCUAGAGUCUUGUAGAGGGGAUAAAAUUCCAUGUGUAGCGGUGAAAUGCAUAAUAUCUGGAAGAAUACCGGUGGCGAACGCGCCCCCCUGGAAAACACUGACGCUCAGGUGCGAAAGCGUGGAGAACAAACAAUAUUAUAUACCCUGAUACUCCACGCCGUAAACUAUGUCAACUUAGAGGUUGUCCUCUUGAGGCGUGUCUUCCGAAACUAACGCGUUAACUCCACCCCCCUGUAGAAUACGCGCACCAGUUUAAAUCUCAAUAAAUUCACGGGGCCCCGCACACAGCGUGGAACAUUGUGUUUAAUUCGAUGCCACGCAAAGAACCUUACCUACUCGUUACAUCCAGAAAACUUCACAGAGAUGUAUUGGUGGCUUCGAGAACUCUGAAAACAUUUCUGCAUGCUUUCCCCACCUCCUCUCCGAAAUGUAGUUUAACUCCCCAACAACCCCAACCUUAAUCCUCUUUUCCCACCCCA
rnacentral:rRNA from 1 species